GGAAGGGGUGUAUUUAUUAGAUAAAAAACCAAUGCCCUUCGGGGCUCCUUGGUGAAUCAUAAUAACUUAACGAAUCGCAUGGCCUUGCGCCGGCGAUGGUUCAUUCAAAUUUCUGCCCUAUCAACUUUCGAUGGUAGGAUAGUGGCCUACCAUGGUGGCAACGGGUAACGGGGAAUUAGGGUUCGAUUCCGGAGAGGGAGCCUGAGGAACGGCUACCACAUCCAAGGAAGGCAGCAGGCGCGCAAAUUACCCAAUCCCGACACGGGGAGGUAGUGACAAUAAAUACUGAUACGGGGCUCUUUUGGGUCUCGUAAUUGGAAUGAGUACAAUCUAAAUCCCUUAACGAGGAACAAUUGGAGGGCAAGUCUGGUGCCAGCAGCCGCGGUAAUUCCAGCUCCAAUAGCGUAUAUUAAAGUUGUUGCAGUUAAAAAGCUCGUAGUUGAACCUUGGGUCUGGCUGGCCGGUCCGCCUCACCGCGAGUACUGGUCCGGCUGGACCUUUCCUUCUGGGGAAUCUCAUGGCCUUCACUGGCUGUGGGGGGAACCAGGACUUUUAC
rnacentral:rRNA from 1 species